rnacentral:rRNA from 1 species
AGAGUUUGAUCAUGGCUCAGGAUGAACGCUAGCGGCAGGCUUAACACAUGCAAGUCGAGGGGCAACACGGGUAGCAAUACCUGGUGGCGACCGGCGCAAGGGUGCGUAACGCGUGAGCAACAUGCCCUAUACAGGGGGAUAAUCCAGGGAAACUUGGUCUAAUAUCCCAUAGUAUUUAGAGGUGGCAUCACCACUAAAUUAAAGCUUCGGUGGUAUAGGAUUGGCUCGCGUGACAUUAGCUGGAUGGUGGGGUAACGGCUCACCAUGGCGAUGAUGUCUAGGGGUUCUGAGAGGAAGACCCCCCACACUGGGACUGAGACACGGCCCAGACUCCUACGGGAGGCAGCAGUGAGGAAUAUUGGACAAUGGAUGGAAAUCUGAUCCAGCCAUGCCGCGUGCAGGAAGACGGCCCUAUGGGUUGUAAACUGCUUUUAUAUGGGAGCAAUAAGGUUUACGCGUAGACCGAUGAGAGUACCAUAUGAAUAAGCAUCGGCUAACUCCGUGCCAGCAGCCGCGGUAAUACGGAGGAUGCGAGCGUUAU